CCGCUCCAGUUACCAUCAGGCAUCCCAGGGUUCUGGCUUCCUCCAGAGAAGGGGAAAGGACUCUCUUUUGUCUCCAGGGAAAUGUCCUUGGGGACCUAACCUUGUCUGUGGCUAUCCUUGCUUGGAACAGGCUUUAGCACCAUCCCUGCUCUCUACCAUGAGAUGCCAAAAAUGUCUGCAGAUAUUGCCAAGAAUCUCUCAGAUGAAGAUGCAGGAUCACAAACAGAGCCUCGAGUUAAACAGAAACAGCGGGUAAUGCUUCAAUGUGUUGAAGAUCUUCCAUGGAACAUAAUUAUAUUAACAUUUAUUCAUUACUAAUCAGCACAUCUCAUCAGAUU